GCAACCUGAGCUCAGUCGUGAUUACCCGCCGAACUUAAGCAUAUCAUUCAGCGGAGGAAAAGAAACUAACUAGGAUUC
rnacentral:rRNA from 1 species